UAGAAAUAUCACACUGGUGGGGUAUGGAUCCGAAGCCUCUAGAAGGAUAACAAAGGCUCUCCACACUCUACUCCUACUCAAUACGUCCCCGGCGUACAGAGCGGUAAUGUCUCUGCAAACAUCUGAGCUUGGGUAUACGGGGAAAUCCAACCCCUUGGGAGGAUGGUUCAUAUGGCUAAAUUGAGAGGA
rnacentral:ribozyme from 1 species